ACCGCAUUAGUUCAGUGGUUAGAACUUUCGGCUGUGGAUUAUUUAAGCAGAACCCGGAGGACGCGAGUUCGAUUCUCGCAUGCGGUC
rnacentral:tRNA from 1 species